CCCAAAGUGGUGUAGUGGUAACAUGCCUUCAGGUGACAGUUAAGCUACUUGCAACGAGCUUAACCCCUUCAGGGGCGGGAGGUUCUCGGGUUCGAAUCCCGACUUUGGGA